rnacentral:lncRNA from 1 species
GCGUUAUGAUGUUUGUGUAAAUUUCUCUAUCGCAAUAUCUCUGCAUAAAAUUUAAACAUUUACAAUAUAUUACGCUUAAUUGAAUCAGCAAAAAAUGUGAAAUAUUACAUUUCCAUGCAAAAGGAUGUAAAAAGCAUUAACCUCGUGGUAAGUAAGGGGAUUUGGCAUGAAAGUCUUUGUGCCUCAACUAAAUCAGGGAAGGAAAAAAGGAACACGUUGAUUUAUGUUCUCAUGCGAAUCAGAAACAAAUGCUGGUGGUAUAUCAUGAACAACAGAAGGCACAACAUUCU